rnacentral:tRNA from 1 species
GGCACUAUAGCCAAGUGGUUACGGCGACAGAUUAGAACUCUAAAUAUCUAUCUGUUUCCCUCUGGGAGCGCAGGUUCAAAUCCUGCUGGUGUCG